CAACGAAUCUUUCAGCAAAGAUUCCAGACCUUCCUCAAGGGCUCAGUCCAGCCCGUCACAGGCAUCGCAAGGCACUCCAUCCCGGCUUCCACUUCUGGCAUGUGACUCAGUCAGACUUCUCAGGCGCAGGGCUAAGAAGAGCAGGCAGAAAGAACCUGAGGAGAUGGAAGCAUCAACAUCUCAGGCUGAGGCCAGCCAGCCGCAGGAGUCCUCUGCCGACAGAGCUGGAUUGCUGCCACCGAUAAACGAAGAAACACAGUCUCCUCAGCGUCAGCCUCCAAACACCAAAGCCCCACCGCGCAGGAAGGGCGCACCCUACCCACGCUGAUGCGGGCAUGGGGCGCCCAUGAGCUCCAAGAGCUCCACUCGAGCUGGCUGCAAAACAGAUGCGUGAAUCCCAUCUGCAUCAUAUCUAAUCCUACACCAGGCUGACCAGGGCCCCAACCAACCUGGCCUUCAACACUGCCACGGACGUGGCGUCCACAAGCUCUCUGGGCAUCCACUUCCAGCAUCACACCAUCGUCUCUGGAAAGACCUUCUCCCUGACAUCCAAUCUUCAUUGUCCCUCCCUCUGUCAAUAAAGCCUUACCAUGGGCCUAUCCCAUAGAAAUCUCCACAAUGCCUGUGGCAGUGUCAUUGCAUCUUUGGACGCCAGCUCUGGUGCUGGCGGAGGGAGAAAGAAUUGUGAGAGGGCAUCAGAACAUCUCACGAUGCUUUCCUUGAUGCCAAAGGAAAUCCAGCGUCUCACUUGGCUCGGCUGUCUGAGCUUUUCUGCUGAAGGGGAAGACCAAAAAUGAAGUCAGCUUCAAAUUGGUGCGGCAGCUCAGAGCUCUCAGAGGAUACCAGGGAUCCUUGGGAGGCCCUUUCCAAGUGGAAGAUUGCGUCCUAUAAAAAAAAUCACAGAAUCAUUGAAUCGUAGAAAUGCAUAGAAUCGUACAAUAACCACAGUGACCAUCAAGUUUCACUUCCCACCCCCCGCCCCGCUAUGUGCAGUAUUGCCAGCCACUAGACCAAAAUGCCCUGUGCCACAUCCAGCCUGGCCUUGAAUGCCUCCAGGGAUGGGGCAUCCACAACCUCCUUGGGCAACCUGUUCCAGUGCCUCACCAGUCUCUUGGGGAAAAACUUCAUUCUCAGAUCCAACUUAAACCUCCCCUGUCUCCCCUGAAGACCACUCCUGCAUGUCCUAUCACAACCCACCCUUGGAAACAGCCAUUCCCCCUCCUGCUUAGACGCUCCCUUUAAGUACUGGAAGGCCACCAGGAGGUCUCCAUGGAGCCUUCUCUUCUCCAAGCUAAACCAUCCCAGUUCCCUCCACCUUUCCUCAUACGAGAGGUGCUCCAGCCCUCUGACCAUCUUAGUGGCCCUCCUCUGGACCCACUCCAAAAACUUCCCGUCUUGCGGAGAAGAGAGAAUAAAGGUAAGGCAGACGCUGAGAAGGACAAGAGCAAAAGCAGAGAAGAACAGGCACAGGUAAGAAAGAAGAGCAGAAGAGGAGGAGAAGAAAAAAUGAGGAUGAAGGUAAGAAAAACAAGCGGGCAGGGAGAAGAGCUGAAGAAGGGAUGAGUGGGUGCAGGUAAGACCGAACAGCAGAAGUGGAGAGGAGCUGAAGAGGAGAAGUAUGAAAAGUAGAGCAAAAGUAGAGGAGGUGGAAAGAGAGGAAAGAGGCAAGAGAGAAGAGAGGAAGAGCAGAGAAAGAACAGAGCAGUAGAGAAGAGCGGACAGUGCUGUGAAAAGAAGAACAGUGCCAGAGAGCAGGUGAAGAAGAACAAAGAGCAGAAGAGGAGUGUAGAUGAAGAAGAGGUGUGAGGGCACAAGGAAGAAAGAUCAGAAGAGAAGAGGAGUGCAGUAAGAAGAAGGAGGAGAGAAGAUACGGGAAAAAGAACAGCAGAAGGGUGCAGAUGCGGAAGAUGAGAGAUGACACAGGGAACAACAAAGAGCAGAAGAGGAGAGCAGUCAGAAGAAAGACAAGUGAGAAUACGGGGGACAAAGCAAAGCAGAGAGGAGUGCAGAGGCAGAAGAAAGAGGAGAGAGGAUACAGAGAAGAAAGAUCAGCAAAUCUCGUAUAUUGUUUCAGCUGCGUGUACAUUUAUAGUGUGGAUAAUAGGCUCAUACCUAUUGCUAAAGUGGAGCUCAGGAUUGGCUCGCUAGUCAGUGUCAACUACGCCUAUCUUUGUGCUCUCAGCAAACACUCCCUUACAGACUUCAGAACACCAGGACUCUGUCUGAAAAAUCAGGAAAUACUCUACUUUUUCUGAAGCACAGAAAAUAAGAAGUUUAGGUAAGGAAAGAGGAGCAAUCAGCACCUCGAUGGUUCAGUUGCUUAAGCAGAUAGGAGCUGGUAACUACUGCUCCAGCACAGCCUCACUCCAGUUGCAGACAGCUCCCAUGUUGCCAUUCCAGCUGCUCGCUCUGCUCACAUUCCAGCUGGACAGGCCUUACUGCAGGCAGCCAUUGUGACACAUGCAGAAGGAUGACGGACCACAACAACACUGAGGCACACACUGUCCUGUGAGUCACACAGCACAUAAACACGGGGGAAAGAGGCUGAGACAGAGCCUGACUGUGUGCUGCUCAUCAGAGCAUGGAGUUAUUAAGACACUCAGCUCAGUAAGGGCACUGACUGAGGUAAAACAUACAGUUCCCACACCACAAAAAAUUGUCCUUGGCCUAAGAAUAAAUUCCAACACAAUCACAAAAUCAAUCUGUAAUCCCGGCCUUUGAAACAAACAAACCCGGAAUUCCAUAGAGCACAGAAUAUGGAAGGGACACAUAACGACCAUCCCGCGCAACUCCAGGCUCCGCACACCAACACCCGCACUCAGACCCGACGC
ensembl:lncRNA